UCUCCUAUGGCGCAAUUGGUGGCGCGUCUGACUGUUAGUCAGCACCUAGCAGGUCAUCAGAAGGUCGUUAGUUCGAUCCUAACUGGGAGAG